rnacentral:rRNA from 1 species
GAGGAAAGCUGGCGGCGUGCCUAAUACAUGCAAGUCGAGCGAACGGACGAGAAGCUUGCUUCUCUGAUGUUAGCGGCGGACGGGUGAGUAACACGUGGAUAACCUACCUAUAAGACUGGGAUAACUUCGGGAAACCGUAGCUAAUACCGGAUAAUAUUUUGAACCGCAUGGUUCAAAAGUGAAAGACGGUCUUGCUGUCACUUAUAGAUGGAUCCGCGCUGCAUUAGCUAGUUGGUAAGGUAACGGCUUACCAAGGCAACGAUGCAUAGCCGACCUGAGAGGGUGAUCGGCCACACUGGAACUGAGACACGGUCCAGACUCCUACGGGAGGCAGCAGUAGGGAAUCUUCCGCAAUGGGCGAAAGCCUGACGGAGCAACGCCGCGUGAGUGAUGAAGGUCUUCGGAUCGUAAAACUCUGUUAUUAGGGAAGAACAUAUGUGUAAGUAACUGUGCACAUCUUGACGGUACCUAAUCAGAAAGCCACGGCUAACUACGUG